rnacentral:rRNA from 1 species
AUUGAACGCUGGCGGCAGGCCUAACACAUGCAAGUCGAACGAGUGGCGGACGGGUGAGUAAUGUCUGGGAAACUGCCCGAUGGAGGGGGAUAACUACUGGAAACGGUAGCUAAUACCGCCUACCAUCUGAAGGGCCCAGAUGGGAUUAGCUAGUAGGUGGGGUAACGGCUCGCCUAGGCGACGAUCCCUAGCUGGGCUGAGAGGAUGACAAGGUACCCCGGAACUGAGCCACGGUCCAGACUCCUACGGGAGGGAGCGGUGGGGAAUAGUGUACAAGGGGAGCAAGCCUGAUGUAGCCAUGCCGAGUGUCUGAAGGAGGCAUGCGGGUUGGAAACUAAUUUCAGUGAGGUGGAGUUACUCUAAGAAGAAGCACCGGCUAACUCCGUGCCAGCAGCCGCGGUAAUAC